rnacentral:lncRNA from 1 species
GGAAGAGUUUAUGUGUGACACCCGGGUACUGAUGAGGGCGGGAAGUGAUCGUCGGUGCAAGAGGCAUGGAGUGUAAGAGGCACAGACAAGGAGCGGCUCCUGACAGGCUUCCAGUGGAAGGGACACAUGGACAAAUCGAACAUACAUCGGAACGAGAGGGAUCUAGAGAUUGUAUAAGUUGUUUUUGCAGGGGGAUGCACGCUCAGGCAACACAUGCACAACCUAUUCGCGGCGCAAUGGUAAGAGUAGUGGGCAUCUCCGCGACGCAAUGGUUUCUCUCUUUGGCGACUUCGCGUCAAGGAUUUCGAUUGGGGUUUUGGGGCUUACCGUUCUCGUGUUUUUUAUCUCAAAUUUGAGGUUUUUCGACCAUCUCUUUUUGGGUUCUUGAUUUCUUCUCUAAAAGAAAGUUGAUGACACAAGUAGGAGUGCGCAAAUUGAACUGUACUGC